GUUCUCCAGGGCCACCUCCACCACAGGGACCGGCCGGGGAGCGCCACCUUGCAGCCCCUCGAUGCGCUCAGCCAGCUCCUGCAGCCUGGCACGGCACUCGGCAAAGUCCUCGUGCAGCACCAGCUCCACAUCCGCCGCCGGGCGCUGCCUCCGCAGCUCCUCCAGCGCAUCCUUGACGAAGGGCUGCAUGUCCAUCACCUCCUGCUCCGUGGCGUAGAGGCCCAUCUUCUCCACCAGCCUCUCGCCCGCCUCCAUCCUCCGCAGCACGGCCUCCACGCGCUGCAUCUCCCCCUCCAGCUCCCUCCGGCCCCUCUCCUGCCUCUUCUCCACCAGCUCCAGCAGCUUCUCCUCCUCACGCCGGAUCAGCUGCACCAGCUGCUCCACGUGCUGCCUCACCAGCUCCCGCAUCCCGCGCCCCUCCG
rnacentral:lncRNA from 1 species